rnacentral:tRNA from 1 species
GUUUCUGUGGUGUAGUGGUUAUCACGUUUGCCUAACACGCAUAAGGUCCCUGGUUCGAGACCGGCACGAGACA